GAUGAACGCUGGCGGCGUGCCUAACACAUGCAAGUCGAACGACCGGACGAGAAGCUCUCUUCUUUGCUGUUAGCGACGGACGGGUGAGUAAGAAGUAGAUAACCUUCCUCUAUGACUUGGGUAAUUUCGGGGAGACGGAGAUACUAAUAGCUCAUACUACCAACGGGUGGGUUCAGGAGAGAUUGACGGUUUUGGUGUCACUUAUAGCUGGAUCCGCGUUGGAUUAGCUAGUUGGUAAGGUAACGGCAUACCAAGGAAACGAUGCGUAGCCGACCUGAGAGGGUGAUCGGCCACACUGGAACUGAGACACGGUCCAGACUCCUACGGGAGGCAGCAGUGGGGAAUCUUCCGCAAAGGGCGAAAGCCUGACGCAGCAACGCCGCGUGAGUGAUGAAGGUCUUCGGAUCGUAAAGCUCUGUUAUUAGGGAAGAACAUAUGUGUGAGUAACUGUGGACAUCUUGACGGUACCUAAUCAAAAAGCCCCGGCUAACUACGUG
rnacentral:rRNA from 1 species